UCUCAAACUACGGUUACUGUGAAGGCCCAGGUCUUACGGCGAAAGGGAAGCAUCAUAUAGGACCAGAUGGAGUUGGUGAAAUGAAAGGUAUUUAUCACCAGGAAGUUGUGAAUGUAUAUUGACAUUUAAAAGUCUAGACCCCGAAUGUAAGACGACCCCACGCAUUUCCAGGAAGAAAAAAAACCCAUCUUAUAUUCGGUUCAGUACGGUCGACUAGAAUUUAAAUCAAUCAAUGUGAACAUCUGUGUUCUCAAACAAUAAAGUGUGCAAAGUCGAUGGUUAUUUAUUUAGUGGUAGUUACCACAUGACGAAUCAUUUGCAACAUCUCAUUAUUAUUGAUCAUCAUUCCUAACUGGCAGAGCUGUGCGGUUUCCAUUAAAGACACUACAUCAAAAAGACGAAUUCAACUGAGUUAGGCUUGCCUUCACCUUUAUAAUACAGAUUUCGUUAUUAAUUUAGAUUCGAUUCCUAUUUGUUCGUAAAAAAAAUCGAAAAAAGUAAAACGGCAGGAAUCUUGGUAAGAACAAUUACAGCAGUAGGCCUAUUCUUUUAAUGAAUUGACUAGAAACAGCUGCAUUAGUUUGCGUCCGAGUUCACGUUGCGAAUAAACUUUUGUCAUAGGUUUGGUUUCAGAAAAGUAACUUAAUUAAUUAUUCACACUAAAACAAGGGUGUUCUCUAAAAGACUACUAACAAAUGGACCAUCGGUCGGAAUAUAUGGAGUGUAGGUCAAUCCUCACAUGUAUCGAGGAGGAGGAGGAGGAAGAGGAGGGUGAUGAUGAUGAUGAAGCCCAUGACAUGGAAGAGGAUGAUGGGGACAGAGAGGAGACCCAAAAAGGAGGUGUAAAGGAGACAGUGGACCAAAUGGGGGAAGAAGACGAAGAAGAAAGUGGCAGAGUGGAAGGAGGGGGAGAAGAAGAUGAGGAAGACUCUGACUCUCCCUGUCUGACGCCAAGACCCUGGCGACUGCCUCGUGACUUCGACGUCGUCUUCCAAGAGACGCGCUAUGUGGACAAUGUCCAGAGUGAGUCUGGGUCAGAAGACGGCUCCCUCUGUACAGCCGAACCACAGCCCACCGCCUCUCCCCCCGAACCCUCUCCUUCAUCAGAACACACCCCUUCUUCAGAAAGUACCUCUCCACCCGAACACGGUCCUUCAUCAGAACACGCCUCUCCACCCGAUCAGACCUCUUCAUCCCAACACAGCCCUCCAUCAGGACACACCCCUUCUUCAGAAAGUACCUCUCCACCCGAACACGGUCCUUCAUCGGAACACGCCUCUCCACCCGAUCAGACCUCUUCAUCACAACACAGCCCUCCAUUAGGCCACAGCUCUCCACCCGAACACACCUCUCCAUCGGGAUACACCAGUCCUUCAGAACACACCCCGCCUCCACCCACACACUCCUCUCCAUCCGAACACACCCCAUCAUCAGAAUACACCUCUGCAUCAGACCACCCCCCUUCAUCAGAACACACCCCCCCACCAGGACACAGCCUUUGGCCUCAACCGGGCAGACAGUGGAGCCAUGGACUCCCAAACAUGAAGGUCUACUCCUGGGCAGAGAGAGCGUGGCGGCGGUCAAGAGCAGAGCAGCCAAAGAAAGGCUCGAAGAGGAGGCGUUCAUCAGAUGAGGAUUUUCCUGGCUGGUUGCUGGAGCUCAUGUUUAGCAUUGAGGAGUCGACAAAACAUGUACUGUUCGUUGAAUAUGAACAUGCAAAGGCAUAA
ensembl:lncRNA